AGCGAACGCUGGCGGCAGGCUUAACACAUGCAAGUCGAACGCCCGGGCAACCGGGAGUGGCAGACGGGUGAGUAACGCGUGGGAACAUGCCCUUUGAUUCGGAAUAACUCAGGGAAACUUGAGCUAAUACCGGAUAAGCCCUUAUGGGGAAAGAUUUAUCGCCGAAGGAUUGGCCCGCGUCCGAUUAGCUAGUUGGUGAGGUAAUGGCUCACCAAGGCGACGAUCGGUAGCUGGUCUGAGAGGAUGAUCAGCCACACUGGGACUGAGACACGGCCCAGACUCCUACGGGAGGCAGCAGUGGGGAAUAUUGGACAAUGGGCGCAAGCCUGAUCCAGCCAUGCCGCGUGAGUGAUGAAGGCCUUAGGGUUGUAAAGCUCUUUCGGCGGGGACGAUAAUGACGGUACCCGCAGAAGAAGCCCCGGCUAACUUCGUGCCAGCAGCCGCAGUAACAC
rnacentral:rRNA from 1 species